CGGCCUUCCUCAGAAGCCUUCGGGAAACAUCAUGCAGUGUUCUCCUUUAAACUGAGUGUUUAUCUUCGUUCUUUAUGUUACUGAUAUUCAACUGUCCUAUGGCCAUUCUUAGCAAUAUAGAUGUUCCUGUAGGUCAAAGAAUGGAAAGCAACUUCAGAGAAAGGCAAAAAUGGAAGGAGAAUGCAGGCCAGAAGUUAGCCUAUUUAUACGUGAAAACAACAGCUAAUCCCCUGGGCAUGGAGUGGGGAGCUUAAAUCAUACCACUUUAGCAAGACCCCCCAUGCUUCCCUGCCUUGGUGACUGAUGUCUUUCCUAGGAUGCUUUUGAAUCAGAUUUGAGCCAAUAUCUACAAAGCUCCUGAUGCUACAUACGUUGAAGGCAGAAGAGUGGUUUGAUAACGGACUGUCCAAUAGUCACCACCAGAUGAUUCCUACGAUCUCCUGUGACCUUCAAAGUGGGCCCAUAUACCCUGCGGGAAGUAUAAGGAACUCCACUGGGAUGCUGGAAGGAAAUAAUAGAACUUCUGUUUAUACUUUAUUUUUCAUCUCAUCCUUUUGUAAUUUCUAUUUUUGUGUAUGCUUUACGAUAUAAAUACCAUAUAGGAGCUUAUGUCUAUAAUUUAUAAGUGAAUAAAUGCACAUUGGGGUGCAUGCUCAAAUGUUUGAUUGAUGGAGCAUACAAUCAAGCUUGGUGACACCAUUCUGAUCAGCAAGGGUAGAAAUACUUCAAUAGAGCAAGCUAGAUGAAACCCUGGGGAGGCCAGAACAAGAGCAGCAGACCACUUUGCCUUCCCUGCCUUGGUGUAGAAUGGUGUAGUGGGAAAAUGUUGCCGACCCUUUCUUAGGGUCUGGUGUUCUCUUCAGUGUGGAGUUACAGGAAGUCCCUCUUUUGGGGCUCUGCCAUCAAGUCUCAUGACAUGUCAAAUUAAAGGACUUCCUGGUGCUUCACUCAAAUGUCUACCUGGAGUCAUUGCCCUCAACUCUAACUUGUGGAGAUGUAUCUGCCCUGCUGUUUCUGCUGCUUGGAAACUGCUAGAACAUGCUGCCUGGCCACCUUCGAACUCCAUCCCCACUGCUGGGCACUGAUGCAGAGGCAUCCUUCCCCAGGCCUUGUUGACGUCUUGUUUCAAAGAGGCACAGAACAAUGUCUCCUCAAAGCCAACGGGCUCUGGUGUCCUCCUGUCCCAUGGGGCCUGAACCCCUGCAAGUGCCCCUGCAGCUUGGUGGGAGUGAGACAGCAGAGUGCCCCAGGCUGGGCUGGCCACACAGCUGAGGCCCACAAGCCUACCAGCUGCCGCAUGGCAGAGCCCUGAGCUAACAUCUGCCACCAAUCCUCUUCUUUUUUGCUGAGGAAGGCCAGCCCUGAGCUAACAUGCACGCCCAUCUUCCUCUACUUUAUAUGUGGGACUUGCCAAGCGGUGCCAUGUCCGCACCCAGGAUCCAAACCGGCGAACCCCGGGCCACCGAAGCAGAACUUGUGAACUUAACCGCUGUGCCACGGGGCUGGGCCCUCUGAUGCUAACUUUUAAACAUUAGUUAAGCUUUUGGCUCUUUUCCAGAGACUUCUCACCAGACUGCCUGAAACACCCAGUCAGUGCAAAGAAUCCUUCUCCAGCCAGAGCCCCUCAGGUACCACAGAGCAACUGGACCUCUACAUUCUACCCCGAGGGUGGAUCAUGUUAGUUCAGCCAAGCCUUAAAUGCUUUCCAGAAAAUUCUUUCUAGUAUUUCUUUCAUUCUGUGUCUCUCACAAUAAGUUAAUAAGUUGUUAACCACUCCUCUUAAGCAAGAACAUGAUUACCUUUUCAAGAUGAAAAGAGAUUUUAUGGUCUCUGAUCUUUCUCAGGUAUUAUACUUCCCUAUUUUCUUGCCACGCUCCAUCCCUCAGGCCCUAGACAACCACUUUUAAAUACUUCUUCAGUUUUAGUUCUAACACACUUGUUUUAGCCUUCCCGAGGGCUUAGGGCCCUGAUAGGAAGGAGCAGUAUAUUAAGUAGAUCUCACUUAUUUUCACUUUUAGCUCUUAAAAAUGCCUCACCUUGAUAGCGAUGCAGAUGUUGAAAUAUAUCGGAGUGUGUUCUGUGGUUCUCUGGAAAGACACGUGAAUAAAACCUCUCUAGCAUUCCGAGCUUUCCCUCUCUCUCUUCUCUUUGUGGUCAGAAAGGAGAUUCCCCUCUCCUCACGCAUUCUGACUCAUUGAGGCAUAUUUACCACGAGGGUGUGUGAC
ensembl:lncRNA